AACGAACGCUGGCGGCAUGCCUAACACAUGCAAGUCGAACGAGACCUUCGGGUUUGGUGGCGCACGGGUGCGUAACGCGUGGGGACCUGCCCUUAGGUUCGGAAUAACUCCCCGAAUGGGGUGCUAAUACCGGCUAAUGUCUUCGAACCAAAGAUUUAUCGCCUUUGGAUGGGCGCGAGUUGGCUUAGCUUGUUGGUAGCGUAAAAGCCUACCAAGGCUAGGUGACAUAGCGGGUAUGAGAGGCGGGGCAGCGACACUGGGGCUGAGACACGGCGCAGAAUAUUACGGGAGGCAGCAGUGGGGAAUAUAGGAAAAUCGGCGAAAGCCAGAACCAGCACGGCCGGGUGAGUGCUGAAGGUCUUAGGGAUGUAAAGCUCUUUUACCCGGGAUGAUAAUGACAGUACCGGGAGAAUAAGCUCCGGCUAACUCCGUG
rnacentral:rRNA from 1 species